UACGAAGGGGGCUAGCGUUGUUCGGAAUCACUGGGCGUAAAGCGCACGUAGGCGGACCAGCAAGUUGGGGGUGAAAUCCCGGGGCUCAACCCCGGAACUGCCUUCAAAACUGCGGGUCUGGAGGUCGAGAGAGGUGAGUGGAAUUCCGAGUGUAGAGGUGAAAUUCGUAGAUAUUCGGAAGAGCACCAGUGGCGAAGGCGGCUAGCACUCGGACCGUAGGAGUUGACUGUCGUACGGCUACGAA
rnacentral:rRNA from 1 species